GCCACACAGUGUGUGAAGCGCUUCCCAGGACUUAUUAAUCCAUGUCUGACCCUGGGGGGUGCUACUGUCUUCAUGUUAUGCAUGACAACCGUGAUGGGUGGCUGUGGAGCCUAUUAUCCAGAGUGGCGCAGCUCGGGAAUGGCUGAGUUGGAACUCAACUCUGGUUCUGUGAUCCCAGAGCUCAGCACCAAACCAGGCUUGACCUGGCUGGUUUAGAGCAUUGAGAAGAGAGGUUUCAAGUGCAGACGCAGCCUUGGAGUGACAUGCUAGAGGAAGAGUCAUGAAUAAUAUUGAAGAUGAUUCAGCAUCUCCUGGUUUUGCUCCUGCACCACCCGAAGAGAAAAUAAUGCUGGGAAAAAAAAAAGUCCCUCAAAACAAACAAACAAACACAACUCUCCUGGGGAAUUUGAGAAUCCCAUCCGGGACCCACACCACAUUUAGUCAUCCUGUCUCCUGCGGCUUCUCGUGGCUCUGGCCACGAGACUCAGACCCUAUGUUUGAUGACCUGGACAGUUCCAGUGAACACCGGUCAGGUUGUUUUGAAGAGCAAAAGAGUUAAUAGAACACUAUCUGGCUUCUCUGAGCACCUUGUCUGCACCUGAUCGUAGCCUGGAAACCUGGAU